GACGAACGCUGGCGGCGUGCUUAACACAUGCAAGUCGAACGGAAAGGCCCUGCUUUUGUGGGGUGCUCGAGUGGCGAACGGGUGAGUAACACGUGAGUAACCUGCCCUUGACUUUGGGAUAACUUCAGGAAACUGGGGCUAAUACCGGAUAGGAGCUCCUGCUGCAUGGUGGGGGUUGGAAAGUUUCGGCGGUUGGGGAUGGACUCGCGGCUUAUCAGCUUGUUGGUGGGGUAGUGGCUUACCAAGGCUUUGACGGGUAGCCGGCCUGAGAGGGUGACCGGCCACAUUGCGACUGAGAUACGGCGCAGACUGCUACGGGAGGCAGCAGUGGGGAAUAUUGCACAAUGGGCGGAAGCCUGAUGCAGCAGCGCCGCGUGCGGGAUGACGGCCUUCGGGUUGUAAACCGCUUUCGCCUGUGACGAAGCGUGAGUGACGGUAAUGAGUAAAGAAGCACCGGCUAACUACGUG
rnacentral:rRNA from 1 species